rnacentral:lncRNA from 1 species
AUAGAAUUUUGACUAUACACCCUGAUUAUCUGUGCCAAACGAUAUGACUGCAAGUCAUUUAGGUUUCCCGAAAAUACAUUUUAAAGAUUGGUUGCGUGUUACCAACUCAUGCCCACCAAUGUAUGAGUUUUUACUGGCCACCCUGUGUUUGUGACGUCAGAGACUACACCGCCACUUGGUCCAGAAACGACGAAGCUGGCUCCUUCUAUGAGACGACGGCCGACAAUCAUCGUUUUGACAGACGUGAUAACCGGUGCUUCUCUUCUUGCCGCAGCACGAUGCGCUGAGCUUGGGCACGUCAGCUGCCUCGCGCAGCGGCGGCUGCAUGGUCAAAAGCAAACGGCGAUCCUUCAGCGCUCAUACUGUCGUGAAAUCGCCGCUGUCUAGUUCGAAUGAGCUGGAAAAGCUCCCCGCGUCAUCAGAAGACAUCGUCAGCUUCGCCGUUUUGACGUUAGCACCACGUGUACUGUGUGUUUAGCUUGCGUUUUGAGUGUUUACAUUACGGUAGUCUAGGAUCUGAUGUCAUCGACUCAUCGUAACGUUCCGCGAA